CUGAAGUUGCUUGUCUGAAGCUGCAUGCUGUCUGCCAUGGACUGAAGUUUGUCGCCCACCAAAUUCAUAUGUUGAAUUCCUAUCCCUCAAUGUAAUGGUAUUUGGAGAUGGGGUCUUUGGGAGGUAAUUAGGUUUAGAUGAGGUCAUGAGGGUAGGACCCUCUUGAUGAGAUCAGUGCCCUUAUGAGAGGACACACCAGAGAGCUUACUUUCUCUCCACCAUGUGAGAAAACAGUGAGGAGGUGGCUGGCCAUCUGUAAGCCAGAAAGCAGGCCCUUAAUAGAAGCCUACCAUUCUGGCACCCUAAUAUCAGACUUCCAGCCUCCAGGAUUGUGAGAAAAUGAACUUUUAUUGUUUACGUAUGUAAGCCACCCCAUCUAGAGUAUUUUGUGAUGGCAGUCCAAACUGACUAAACACAGUCUGUGUGUCUAUGUGCCAAUAAUUAAGCAAAACUUUUGCUUCUUAUUGUCUGAGCUUAAAAUAUUUUCCUAUUUUCAAAGUAUGUGAAUAAGCAGAAUUAUAAAUUCUAUUAAAUGAAAGAUCUCUGUUUCUAAGUAGCUUAUAGAGACUAAUAAAAGUAUAAUAUAUAUAUUUUUAAAUGCUGUCAUGACUCAGUUUUAAGGCUCUGGCUAGAGGCCAGUCUGUUCUCCAUCUUAAGCAGUUGAGUAAGUUGCUUAACCACUUUCCACAUUAGGCCAUCAUACAUCCUCCCUAAUUUCCCUGAGGCCAGGUACCAGACAACUAGGGACACACCUUAAGCCCCAGAACCCACCAAAAUCAUUCAAAUUAUCCUAUCCAGGGAGCCUGUGAAACCCAGCUAAUCCCACCAGAACUGCAAGACCUGAGCUGCCCCUUACAGCCACAGCUUGUUGCCACCUGUCACAGGGCACCACCUCGUGUGGCCAUGCCUGGCAGUGUUGCAGACCUUUCUCCUUAGUUCAGCUAAAACUGGGUUCUUGUCAUGUGACCAGGAAAUAUUAGGCUUGCGGACACAUAGAAGGGUGAGGAGCAGAAUUUAUUUGGAGAAAAGGAAAAAGGAAAAAUAACUCUCAGCAAAGUGAGAGAGAAUCCUGCUAGCAGGUUUCCCACCUCACUGAUUGAAUCCCAGGUUCCCACCCAGGAAAUGAAAACACCAGUCUCCUCCCUGCUGCAAAUGGCUUGAACUUCCCGAGGCUCCACUCCGUCCUCCCAGUGCACAGGUUAAUUAAACAUGCCAACUUAUUAGAAAAAAAAGAGGAAGGAAGGAAAUUAUGUUUCACAGCGCAUCUUAUAUAAGAGAUCAGAGCAAGAAUCAAAAGGUGUUCUGUGAGAAGAAAAAUGUACAAUAAUGGAAGACAGGCACUCUCUCAGACUGUACUCAAUUAAGGUAAAAGAGGACCAUUAAUGAGUCUCAGAACUACAGAGAGAAUAUAAAUGCAUAUUGGCUGGGCUGAAUAUAUAGACGUCAGCAGGUCCCAAGAGGCCUUGCCAUUCUGUUGUUACAUCUUUGACUGUUUCUGCUGUCAUGUAAGAAAAUCCAGCUGGACUACCUAAUGAAGAAACUGCAUGAUGAAAGCGGCUCACACAACAGCCAUCACCGAGGCACCAGACAGGAAUCCAGAAGUUUCUGCCAAAACCCACAGGGAGCAUGGAAGAUAGCUGAGGAGAGAGUCAGAGGCUUGCACUGAAGAGGCAGUGGCCAAGUGGCAUAAAGGAAGCUGAACCCACCACAUCAGAGACACCUGGCCCAGGGAGGUAGGCUGAGGCACAGGAGAGCUGCAGUGUCUCUCUCAAAGGGCCUUCCAUCCUAAAGAAAAUACUUCUGAACAAGGAUGUGCGUGUAUUUCCCGCCAUAUGUGGCACUAUGUAUUAUCUCUAUCUCAAAAUCAAUCAUUUCAUAUGUUUUAAUAAAAUUAUACAGUGAUUUAAUCACAACUGUAAAAUGUGUUAAUAAAAGAUAAUUGUAUACAUACAUUUUAAUGCACAAAUUAAAUUUCUGUAAAGGGAACUUUACUAACUGUGACAGUAGUCAAAGUUUAAUGUCCCAUGAAAAGGUUAAGAAUGUCAGGUUGGUUUUCACAGAAUAUUAACCUAUUGUACCAGAAAAUUAAAAUAAGAGAAAGAAUUAAAUAAAUAAGCUCACUAAUGGUA
rnacentral:lncRNA from 10 species